CAGUCAAUGUGAUCCUUGUCCAGUCAAUGUGAUCCAGUCAAUGUGAUCCUUGUCCAGUCAAUGUGAUCCUUGUCCAGUCAAUGUGAUCCUUGUCCAUGCAGUCAAUGUGAUCCUUGUCCAUGCAGUCAAUGUGAUCCUUGUCCAGUCAAUGUUAUACUUGUCCAGUCAAUGAGAUCCUUGUCCAGUCAAUGUGAUCCUUGUCCAGUCAAGUUAUUAUAGAUCUGGGAAAGUGCAAUACAUGUUCUGGUGUUUGAUGGAAAGAGUCACAUCCUGCUUGUAGAAUACAUUUGUACCUCAUUCAGGCUAUAAUGGAAAGUUGGAAUGAGAAACUAACUACAGCUGCUAGGGAUGGAGAUAUAGAAGCCUUAAAAUUAAGCCUACAGAAUGGUGCAGACAUUGAUUAUCGAGAUGUAAGU